rnacentral:misc_RNA from 1 species
GCAUAGUCACACACAAGCAUAGAGCUACGGAGCACUACAUGCCGCGGAAGAGGAGUUCCUACGUCACAUGCACGGUCAACGGCACCGCGUGUCGGUCAGACGACGGCAUGUACGACGUGAAGGCACUGUACGGGCCGCACACGUUGUUGCUGCGCGCACCGACGACGGCACCAUCGUCGUCUUUUUUGUCGUCCGCUCCGUCACCAGCAGAGGCAUCCAGAAGACGGUCGGAGCCCUUGACGAGUUUCACCAUCUGCGCGGUGGACGCGCGUGGACGUUUUGUUGUGAAGCAGAGUGGCACCUACGAGGUUGGUGCAAUCGGAGCCGUUGAAAAGCAGGCUGAGGCUGAGGCUGAGGCUGAGGCUGAGGUGCAGGCGGCGACUCACGACGUGCAGCGCGUGCCAGAAGCGGCUUCGAAGACGGCGGGGGAGCGCCAAAGUGCAAUGAAGGAAGUGCGACGAGCCCCCAACAAGUACAGCAUGUUUUUAAGUAAGUUUUCGAAGGUGUUCAGCCUGAAGGGCUUUCAGGCAGCCGCCGCGGAGUGGAGGCGCUUUUCGGCGGAGUCGAAGAGGAGAGAGGAAGUAGAUGCUCUCAUCGCCGCGGUGGUCCGCUCCGGUCGUUACCCAAUGCGCCAGCCGAAGAGCUGAAUGAUCGCUGUUGCUGUGGUUUCUCGUGUGCGUGUGUGUGUGCAUGUGUGCUCGAGGUCGACCCACAAACUCGUAAGUGAUGCCACCUCACUCUCUGUUCCUGAUUAGGCGGUACGCAACGGGGCACUGUCGAAGGUCACACGCGCAAAAGGAGUGCGUCGCUCAUGCCCCCCCCCCUCCCCUCGCCUUUACUACACCCGUGAUGGCCCUCAAGCGAUUCCACCACCCCAACACGCUGCGUUGCCCUUUUGCCCACGUCUUCCUGCUUCUCUCUCUUUUCGCUCGUGGCGCCACGCACGCAUGCGAUGCGCAUGCUGAACGGCGCGCGCAUUCGACCGCCGUGAUGCUGUGAGGUGUCAACGCCCUUCGUGG